UACGUAGGGUGCGAGCGUUAAUCGGAUUUACUGGGCGUAAAGCGUGCGAAGGCGGCCCGUUAAGACAGGUGUGAAAUCCCUGGGCUCAACCUAGGAAUUGCGCUUGUGACUGGCGGGCUCGAGUACGGGAGAGGGGGGUGGAAUUCCUGGUGUAGCAGUGAAAUGCGUAGAGAUCAGGAGGAACACCGAUGGCGAAGGCAGCCCCCUGGGCCUGUACUGACGCUCAUGCACGAAAGCGUGGGGAGCAAACAGG
rnacentral:rRNA from 1 species